UUGGAAAGGCCCCUAAUGAAGACGCGUUAAUAUGUGUCACGCAGGAGAGGUUUCCCCAUGACUCGGUGUACAGACCUGCAGAGUCCUGGAAGAGGGGGCUGAGUCUCCAUGUUCCCGUUUCCCUUCCCUUUGCCGUGGGUCCCUCCUGAGUCGCGCCACGCUCUUUUUCCCCACUGCAUGCGCGACCUGGAUUCCAGCCUCGGGUUUACAUCUUUGAAUUCACCUCAACUGAUGCCGGCUAGAGGUCCCCAGCAUCUUGGAAUCCCAGGUCCCAAAAUUAAUGUGCGUCUUAUACACGGGAGCAUCUUAUACAUGGGGAAAUUCGGCAUAUACAAUGGAAUAUUACUCAGCCAUAAAAAAGAAUAAA